GCUUUAAGAUUAAGCUUGUGUGAGUAAAUCCAGCAUCCAUAGUUGAAACUUCGAAAUCCAUAAGCUCUGCCCAGAAUGCUUUUGACAUGUUUUACGCGAAUCAACAUGACCGUAUAGCCCCUAACUCUACCAGAAUCUAGAUUUUGGUUUUGUUAGCACCUCAAGAAGCCUGAACAUCCAUCUAUCCAGCAUUCCUGUUUGAGCAACAACCAGAACAAAAUUUUAGCCCAACACGAAGGAAUAGCAAAACAUGGAAAAGGAAUGUACAGACAAUAACUCGGAAUGACCAAGGAAGUCCACUCGAUAAUUGUAGAAUAUACAAGAAUUAGUUGAUAAAACAAAAUAGGAAAAAAGCUCCUAAAAAUACCUAUAAUUUCGGGUUUCUACUAAUCUUUGACAACCUUUUGGUUUUGUGAGAUUUAAUUUAUUAUUAUACUCUAUAUGGAAAAUGCUGAAGCCUAAUUGCAAGACACAUAGGCACCUAUUUUUUGGUUCAUUAGGAUGCAAGAUCUGGGUAUAAAUAUGAAUCCAAUGGCAUUAGCAACAAAAUGGUACCAAAGUGAUGCAAAAGAUUGUUCUAUGCCUCAUGUAUCAAAAUUUUAACAAGAUAUUUUUCUAAACUUUUGGCAUACAUAAUUAGCAAAAGAAACUAAUUUUAUCCCCAAAUCUGGACUUAAAAACCAAAAAAUUAUGGCCAAUGAGGAUAACAAUAUAUUUAGACAAUGUUGGAUGGUAGCAAAGGUAUUAGCAUUGAAACUAGACAACAGCGUUAUAAAGUUUUCAAAAUUUUUAACACCUGGCAGAUUUUCUCAGUAGAACCAGUUCUUAUCUCUCUGGAUUUAUCACAUGUAGCAUUGGCAACAUAAUGGAGUCCCAAUUUUCCAAAUUUAUGGUGAAUUUUAUAACCAUGGUAUUGGAAAAAAAAUACCCAAAAACAAAAAGAAAACAGAACAAA
rnacentral:misc_RNA from 1 species